GUGGUGACGGCUACUCUUUUUCGCAUAUCAGAAACAACAAUAUAAAACAAAAAUAUAUGUAAUAAGAAAAUGAGAAGAAACCACGUCAUAGGGCCAGAAAUUCACAGCACACAGUCCUACACACCUAUGAACACAUAAAUAUAGAAGGCAAAUGUAAGUCGCACCUCAACGAGUUUGUAAACAGUCACAAACACACACCUGCGGCCGUGAUGUAGACUGCGAUGAGCAUAUAAACAGAUGAGGAAUUGCACAGGGUUAAAAUAAUGCACGCACAGAAUACAAAAAAGUAUAACACGUUGCCUGUCAUCCUGGACUGAAGCAUUUUGCUAUAAAAGUAGGAGGUUUACGCCACACUGAAUGAAGCACAAAAAACUGAACUUCAGCUUUGGCUGAUAAAUUCUUUUAGUUGCUAAUAGUGCUGUAUAAGGCUUGUGGAGUUUUAGCACGAGGCUUUUUGAUCACCAUCUUCGAAAACAGAAAAAAAGGAAAGAAAGCUCAGAUUUCGAAAGCAGAAUAUUCAUCCAUGGAAAAAAGAAUUAGGUGUAGAACAAGAAAAAAAAAAAACGCAGCCCACACUCCACACAUAGGUAUAAAAGAAAACUGUCAUUCAGGGGUCUAACGCAAUAUAUGCAUUUAUUCGCUAGCUUGUUUUCCCUAAAAGAAAUAGAAACAAUAACAUCUUAUGAGCUUCCCUCCCAAAUGUCCUGAAUCGCGCUCUGAGUUGUCGAUAGGUUUGGUUUAGUACGCACAUAGGGAGGGGGGGGAGGGGGCGCUUAAUUUUGAUCAGCGGGACGGGAGCGGAUUGGUGCCGGAGUUUAACGUGUUCCACCGACAUAAAUAAUUAAACUGCAUUAAGCUUCGUAUUUUACCGCUACAUGAGGCAAAAUAACAAGCCAAUAGAAUGCUCUCAAGAUAUCCUUUAAGCAUGGAAGCUACCCUUACCCCAGCGAUUACCGUUAAGCCUGACUUUAGUGCAACUGUGUUCAAUGCCAUAGUAUUCUACACUUUCAUGAGUCAGCGUUGAUAUCCUUUCUCGUAUUCGAAAUUGCACCUUGCUCGAUUUCAUAUCAAGGACAUAUUUCCCCACGUUUUCAGAAAGCGCCCUAACCAAAUGUAAAAAAAAAAAAAAAAGGGGGGGGGGGGGUCGGGGAAGAAAGGUAAAAGCGUAUCCUAUGUCCACGUUCGUCACCCUCCACUCCAGACAGUUUCUUGUAAUCACAAUGUACAACAUGAAGCUCGAGCAAUAGUUUCGCUAAGAAGCCAUCAUCAGUAGAUUCAGAGACGGCCGUUGCUCCUAUCAAUUGCAAUUAAAGAAGAGAGAGAGAGAAAGAGACGGAGAGAGAGAGAGAGAGAGAGAGAAACGGAGAGAAGUGAAAUGGGAAAGGCAGUUAUGUUAACUGGAAGAUAAGCUUCUGUGUUUGCUACCCUACAGUGGGGGAAAGGUAUGGGGGAAUACGAAAAGAAUAGCGCAGAACGAAAUCAAAAGCAAGAAAUAUAUUAAGAAAGCGAGAGAGCAUUAUUUCGCGUGUUUUCGCGCGAACAGCGUCAGAAACCCUUUGCAAUGUAAUAGCAGUCGGAGAAAUUCAGUUUAUAGUUAGCACAAAGCAAUUAUUUACAGCUGUAUUCCACGAAUGUGCGUUGCCGCAAUCCGCUGUUUGUGCGUGCGUCACACGCGCAUGCACAGCCACAACGAGAAAAUGCUCGCGUCAUCACGCACUACGUCGCCCAUUCGCGCUACCAUCUCUCGUUUGCCAGUUUCUCGCGUGCACAAGACUCCCUUUCACAACGCAGUUGACCGCGGCAAAUAGCGCACACGGGGAACACCUUUGGCGUACAUGUGGUGACCUGCGUGACAACGAGUGGCAAUGAUUGCCAGAUCGGAAGCAAAGGAAGGCCGGCCAUGCAAUCACCUCAGCCCCGAAGCCACGAGCGAUAUGUGACGCUGAUGACGAAGGUGCCUACACGGCAUGCGGCCACCAGCGGGUGCCAAAACAAGUAUAGAAAAGAAAAAGCACUGAACCUUCGGUGCCUACCACAAUGAGGCAAUAUAUAGACAUAAAUAUACAUAUAGACAGUAAAAGAUGCUGAAGAAACAAAUGAAACGGAUUUUAGCCUACA